AAUAGCUGGCCUCUGCACUUCAAAACGCAUGAAUGUGGAGUCACCGCUUUGUCUCUGCGGUCUAAGGGUUCUGGGGCUGUAGAAAAUGGGUUGUUACACUCGUGCCAUCAGCAUCUGGUGAAAUAUUUAAACAACUAAACGUUCAAUAAUUAAACUUUACAAUCACAUUAAUUGCUUGUAGUGAACGUGGCAGGGAUAGGCUACAGGUAUAUCGAUUAUUCAAUUAUGAAGAGUGGGGAGGUGGUAGAUCUGAUGUCCUGUCUCUGAGGAGCUUUGGCUACGGCUCCCAGACGUCCAGACCGUCUGACCACAGCUCAGGGAUUAAACCCCAGACAUCUCCACACACCAGAUUAAACACUGAACCUGCACACAACAGGGAACAACAAGGACCGAUCCCAACUUCUGUGAUGCCUGCCCUGAAUUCACAUCACAACCUUCAGAGACUUCAUACAGGCUCCAGUGCCCCCAUGCAGGUGUGUUCCAGUGCAGGUUGACAGGUCUGGCCUUUCAGAUGGAGGGAGAGGGGGAAGUACUAUACAGAACUGUCCAAAGGAAUGAAGGUCUGCUGCACUCCACAGGCCAGACCCCUGCAGGAUCCCGGUUCAACAUCAGCUGUGCUCAGGGCUCUGUCUGUCAGCUGCACCUCCCACACUGUGAGAUUCUCUCUGGUGAGUUCCACACCUCUCACAACUCAGUAAUACUCGGUUACCCAUGUAGCGGGAUG